rnacentral:rRNA from 1 species
GAUGAACGCUGGCGGCGUGCCUAAUACAUGCAAGUCGAGCGAACGGACGAGAAGCUUGCUUCUCUGAUGUUAGCGGCGGACGGGUGAGUAACACGUGUAUAACCUACCUAUAAGACUGGGAUAACUUCGGGAGACCGGAGCUUAUACCGGAUAAUAUUUUGCACCGCAUGGUUCAAAAGUGAAAGACGGUCUUUCGGUCACUUCUCGAUGGAUCCGCGCUGCAUUAGCUAGUUGGUAAGGUAAAGGCUUACCAAGGCAACGAUGCAUAGCCGACCUGAGAGAGUGAUCGGCCACACGGGAACUGAGACACGGUCCAGACUCCUACGAGACGCAGCAGUAGGGAAUCUUCCGCAAUGGGCGGAAGCCUGACGGAGCAACGCCGCGUGAGUGAUGAAGGUCUUCGGAUCGUGAAACUCUGUUAUUAGGGAAGAACAUAUGUGUAAGUAACUGUGGACAUCUUGACGGUACCUAAUCAGAAAGCAACGGCUAACUACGUG